AUUUUACCUUAAUUUAACCAGGCAUUCUUAUUUUCAAUGACGGCCUGGGAACAGUGGGUUAACUGACUGUUCAGGGGCAGAACAACAGAUUUGUACCUUGUCAGCUCGGGGGUUUGAACUCACAACCUUCCGGUUUCUAGUCCAACGCUCUAACCACUAGGCUACCAUCCAGCUAAUUAUUAUAAUCAAUUGCGCUCUACAGGGGGUUUUCCAGAAAGAUAGUUUAACAAAUUCAGGAUUCCCUGAACAUAUCUGUCUUUCCUUAACCAGAUGAGGGAGUCUAGGAUUUCUUGGUUCCAGAUUGGUUGCUUCUCUUUUAAGUAAUUAGGCUAACCAAGCGCAGAUUGGUUGCUUCUCUUUUAAGUAAUUAGGCUAACCAAGCGCAGAUUGGUUGCUUCUCUUUUAAGUAAUUAGGCUAACCAAGCGCAGAUUGGUUGCUUCUCUUUUAAGUAAUUAGGCUAACCAAGCGCAGAUUGGUUGCUUCUCUUUUAAGUAAUUAGGCUAACCAAGCGCAGAUUGGUUGAUCUGACAACUGGCGCAUGUAUGCAACGUUCAAAAAGGUCCUUGUGUCAAUGACAGAAAAAAUGUCAGAUAUUGAGUCAAAAGACUAGAGUCCACAACAAGAAAUCAUUUUGACAAUGAAUAUGUUAACAUAUUUACCCCCCAAAAAGUAAUACAGCAGCAAAAGCCAGAGAGGUAGCCUGGCAGAAAAUUGCAAACAGAAUAAAUGUUUAAGUGAAGUGGCAGGAUUCCAAUAUCUAAUAGACCUAGCAUACACACAUGGGUGCUUUAUUAAUCAUUCUUUCACUUUUUAUAGAGCAUGUUUAUUACAAAUCUGGUGUCACAGUUGCAAUGGUAGACCCAUUCCAAAGCCUAUGUAGGAUGAGUAAUAAUAAUUGAUUGAAUUCAUAGACCGCUUUUCAUGACAACACGGGCAACAAUGUGUUCUAUGUUUAGUUUUAACACCAAUGACCCUUGGAAAAUCUGCGGGAUGGAUUAGGCUAUUUAUAAUUUUUAUCAUGUUGCCUAGUCUUAUUAAUGAAUUAGUAAAACACUCACCACAACCUACUGUACCUGUGUAACGGAUGUGAAACGGCUAGCUUAGUUAGCAGUGGUGCGAGCUAAAUAGCAUUUCAAUCGGUGACAUCACUUGCUCUGAGACCUUGAAGUAGUAGUUCCCCUUGCUCUGCAAGGGCUUUUUUUGUGGAGCGAUGGGUAACGAUGCUUCGUGUGUGCAGAGGGUCCCUGGUUCGUGCCCGGGUAUGGGCGAGGGGACGGUCUGAAGUUAUACUGUUACACCUGCAGUUCUGUAAACAUCCUCCUUGAUUAUAUGACAGGUUGAGGGCCAGGGAAUGCAACAAAGGCAUACAAAAUGGUAUUCAAUGCAAAGCAUACUCUUCUUUUGGCUCCACACACAGUUGCCUUUCCAAGUCGUUCGGCAUCGGUAACAUUGUACAGGAAACUAGUAAUACACAGAGUUUGUAGGCCUAUAGGAGUCAAAUCAAGCUUUUUUAUACAGCACAUUUCAGACAUGGAAUGCAACGCAAUGUGCUUUACAGGAGAAAACAAAUAAAAAACUAUGAAAAUAAAAGCUGAAAUAUUUACUACAUAACAAACAUAAGAUAAAAAUACAAAAGAAUGACAAACUGAAUGACUAAAAACCACCCUAAGGAAAAGCAAAGCUAAAAAUGUAUUUUAAUAUCUCUUUUAGGAUUUUCCGCAAAGGCACAUGCCAUAGUGACGGACAAGAAUCUGAUUGGAGGAGAAGCCUUGACUUAUUCACCAGGACAGGCUAUGAUCAAGUGAACCUAGUUGGUAACAGGUUUGCUUCAGAGCAUUCAUUGCUAUGGUUGUUAAUCAGACUAUACGUCGAGCUCUCUUUCUGGAACUGGAGUUGGCAAAAAUGUUGCUUUGACAGAUCUCGCUAACUCAUUAAUCCGGCUUUCUGGAAUACCCCUCAGGAACAGGGUUGGAGAGCCCUGCUGUAGACACAAAUACUAGACAGGCAAUCAAAACCGAGAUAUGACUGUAUACACUACGAUAUAUGUCACUGACUGUAAAUCAGAAAGUUGUUACUUAUCAUACCUGUUGAGACACUGGCCUGGUCUGUGUAUAAGGUGGUAUGACCGUGAGCUAGGCUCCUGUAUACUGACACUUCUCUAUAUGUGCAAUCAUCAGGGAUCAGAGGUUGCGGCUACUCGGAUUGGCCGACUGUACCUCCUCCAGUUUAGUCAACAGGGUGUGUCCGCCCCUCAAUGAGCUGCAGUGUUUUGACACAAGCUAUGUUAGAUCUACAAUUGUAUGAUGCAAACAGCUACAAAUACUUUUGUUUAUUCUUCCACUUGUUUGGCUUCUUCUUAAUAUCUGCUCCCAUGUCCAUUAUGUUAGUUUGUUUGGGCUAGGGUUGAAUAUCUGCUCCCAUGUCCAUUAUGUUAGUUUGUUUGGGCUAGGGUUGAAUAUCUGCUUCCAUGUCCAUUAUGUUAGUUUGUUUGGGCUAGGGUUGAAUAUCUGCUCCCAUGUCCAUUAUGUUAGUUUGUUUGGGCUAGGGUUGAAUAUCUGCUCCCAUGUCCAUUAUGUUAGUUUGUUUGGGCUAGGGUUGAAUAUCUGCUCCCAUGUCCAUUAUGUUAGUUUGUUUGGGCUAGAGUUGAAUAUCUGCUUCCAUGUCCAUUAUGUUAGUUUGUUUGGGCUAGGGUUGAAUAUCUGCUCCCAUGUCCAUUAUGUUAGUUUGUUUGGGCUAGGGUUGAAUAUCUGCUCUCAUGUCCAUUAUGUUAGUUUGUUUGGGCUAGGGUUGAAUAUCUGCUCCCAUGUCCAUUAUGUUAGUUUGUUUGGGCUAGGGUUGAAUAUCUGCUCUCAUGUCCAUUAUGUUAGUUUGUUUGGGCUAGUGUUGAAUAUCUGCUCCCAUGUCCAUUAUGUUAGUUUGUUUGGGCUAGGGUUGAAUAUCUGCUCCCAUGUCCAUUAUGUUAGUUUGUUUGGGCUAGGGUUGAAUAUCUGCUUCCAUGUCCAUUAUGUUAGUUUGUUUGGGCUAGGGUUGAAUAUCUGCUCCCAUGUCCAUUAUGUUAGUUUGUUUGGGCUAGGGUAGCAAAACCUUUCCAAAACUCCCUGGUUUUCCAGAUAUCCCAGUUGAAACAUUACUUGAUUCAGGAGGGAAUGAGCACAAAAUCCGCAAUCCUCCAAACAGGAUAUGUGAAAAAUGAUUACAUUCCCCUCCUGUUAGGGUUACCAAUCCUAUUGUGUGUGUCUGUCUGUCUGUCUGUCUAUGUUUCUUUGCCCCUGUGUGAUGGUGUGUACACUUUGACUUCACUAGAUGGCAAGGGUUAUCAUGUAUUUGGAUCAGACGGAUUCUGUGACGAAAUCACAUUACAUUUUUAUUUAGGCAACAGGACAUAUAAUAUACAGUACAGAGUUGAUGUGCAGGGGUACGAGGUAAUUUAGGUAGAUAUGUACAUAUAUGUAAGGGUACGAGGUAAUUCAGGUAGAUAUGUACAUAUAUGUAGGGGUACGAGGUAAUUCAGGUAGAUAUGUACAUAUAUGUAGGGGUACGAGGUAAUUCAGGUAGAUAUGUACAUAUAUGUAGGGGUACGAGGUAAAUCAGGUAGAUAUGUACAUACAUGUAGGGUACGAGGUAAUUCAGGUAGAUAUGUACAUAUAUGUAGGGGUACGAGGUAAUUCAGGUAGAUAUGUACAUAUAUGUAGGGGUACGAGGUAAUUCAGGUAGAUAGUAUGAGGUAAUUCAGGUAGAUAUGUACAUAUAUGUAGGGGUACGAGGUAAUUCAGGUAGAUAUGUACAUAUAUGUAGAGGUACGAGGUAAUUCAGGUAGAAAUGCCUUUUAUUUUCACCGUUGUAAUAUAACCCUUGUGUUCAUCAAGCUCACAUCUACAUGAUCAGUCAGUCUGUCAACAUAAAGUGUUACUUCUCUUCAUAGUGCACUAAAUUCCCUUAUUCCCUUCAUAGUGCACUAAAUUAGAGGACUACCAUAGUAUGGUGCACUACAAAAGUAGAGAGAGAAUAUGUUGCCGUUUGGGACACACCUGAUGUGAUGGACAAAUUGAUGUCAAGCCCUUAGGCUGCUCGUUAUAGCUAUAGGAGAGAGAGAAUUCCCAAUGGCAUCAGACUGAGGCUCUGCAUCUGUCCUUGUGCUCCUAGACCUUAGUGCUGCUUUUGAUACCAUCGAUCACCACAUUAUUUUGGAGAGAUUGGAAACCCAAAUUGGUCUAGACGGACAAGUUCUGGCCUGGUUUAGAUCUUAUCUGUCGGAAAGAUAUCAGUUUGUCUCUGUGAAUGGUAAAUUGCGGUGUUCCUCAAGGUUCCGUUUUAGGACUACUAUUGUUUUCACAAUAUAUUUUACCUCUUGGGGAUGUCAUUCGAAAACAUAAUGUUAACUUUCACUGCUAUGCGGAUGACACACAGCUGUACAUUUCAAUGAAACAUGGUGAAGCCCCAAAAUUGCCCUCGCUAGAAGCAUGUGUUUCAGACAUAAGGAAGUGGAUGGCUGCAAACGUUCUACUUUUAAACUCAGACAAAACAGAGAUGCUUGUUCUAGGUCCCAAGAAACAAAGAGGUCUUCUGUUGAAUCUGACAAUUAAUCUUAAUGGUUGUACAGUCGUCUCAAAUAAAACUGUGAAGGACCUCGGCGUUACUCUGGACCCUGAUCUCUCUUUUGAAGAACAUAUCAAGACUUUCAAGGACAGAUUUUUUCCAUCUACGUAACAUUGCAAAAAUCAGAAACUUUCGGUCCAAAAAUUAAUCCAUGCUUUUGUCACUUCUAGGUUAGGCUACUGCAAUGCUCUACUUUCCGGCUACCCGGAUAAAGCACUAAAUAAACUUCAGUUAGUGCUAAAUACGGCUGCUAGAAUCCUGACUAGAACCAAAAAAUUUGAUCAUAUUACUCCAGUGCUAGCCUCCCUACACUGGCUUCCUGUCAAGGCAAGGGCUGAUUUCAAGGUUUUACUGCUAACCUACAAAGCAUUACAUGGGCUUGCUCCUACCUAUCUCUCUGAUUUGGUCCUGCCAUACAUACCUACACGUACGCUACGGUCACAAGACGCAGGCCUCCUAAUUGUCCCUAGAAUUUCUAAGCAAACAGCUGGAGGCAGGGCUUUCUCCUAUAGAGCUCCAUUUUUCUGGAAUGAUCUGCCUACCCAUGUGAGAGACGCAAACUCGGUCUCAACCUUUAAGUCUUUACUGAAGACUCAUCUCUUCAGUGGGUCAUAUGAUUGAGUGUAGUCUGGCCCAGGAGUGUGAAGGUGAACGGAAAGGCUCUGGAGCAACGAACCGCCCUUGCUGUCUCUGCCUGGCCGGUUCCCCUCUUUCCACUGGGAUUCUCUGCCUCUAACCCUAUUACAGGGGCUGAGUCACUGGCUUACUAGGGCUCUUUUAUACCGUCCAUAGGAGGGGUGCGUCACUUGAGUGGGUUGAGUCACUGAUGUGAUCUUCCUGUCUGGGUUGGCGCACCCCUUGGGUGGUGCCGUGGCGGAGAUCUUUGUGGGCUAUACUCGGCCUUGUCUCAGGAUGGUAAGUUGGUGGUUGAAGAUAUCCCUCUAGAGGUGUGGGGGCUGUGCUUUGGCAAAGUGGGUGGGGUUAUAUCCUUCCUGUUUGGCCCUGUCCGGGGGUGUCAUCGGAUGGGGCCACAGUGUCUCCUGACCCCUCCUGUCUCAGCCUCCAGUAUUUAUGCUGCAGUAGUUUGUGUGGGGGUCUAGGGUCAGUUUGUUAUCUGGAGUACUUCUCCUGUCCUAUCCGGUGUCCUGUGUGAAUUUAAGUAUGCUCUCUCUAAUUCUCUCUUUCUCUCUCUCUGAGGACCUGAGCCCUAGGACCAUGCCUCAGGACUACCUGGCAUGAUGAUUCCUUGCUGUCCCCAGUCCACCUGGCCGUGCUGCUGCUCCAGUUUCAACUGUUCUGCCUGUGAUUAUUAUUAUUUGACCAUGCUGGUCAUUUAUGAACAUUUGAACAUCUUGGCCAUGUUCUGUUAUAAUCUCCACCCGGCACAGCCAGAAGAGGACUGGCCACCCCACAUAGCUUGGUUCCUAGGUUUUGGCCUUUCUAGGGAUUUUUUCCGAGCCACCGUGCUUCUACACCUGCAUUGCUUGCUGUUUGGGGUUUUAUGCUGGGUUUCUGUACAGCACUUUGAGAUAUCAGCUGUAUGAAGGGCUAUAUAAAUACAUUUGAUUUGAUUUGAUUAUUCACUUGAGUGAUCGUAUGGGCCAUAGGAUCACUCCUGUGAAUAAUGGGAAUUAUCUCUCCUGUAGCUAUGACGAGCAGGUGCUCCUAUGGGUUGAGAGAAAUAUGUGCCAGCCUCUAAGUCCAGAUGCCCUGAGUGGAGGAGUGUGGAGACUGAAAUGCUAUCCUACCCAUGAGCACCUGCUGUUGGCUGCUUGCAUGCACAUCGACUUCCACAUCCUUAACUGCCAGCAAGCCCUGGUGGAGGAGCGUGUUCUGUCCUAGCCGACAUCCUUCACAACUCUCUGGCCUACGGGGUCGACUUGGCCAACCUUUCCCUGGAGGAGCCUGCUCCCCCCUGGAGAGUUUUUUGACUUGUUGGUCAAGCCCAUGAAAUCAGAAGUCAGAGGAAUUGAUGUGAUAUCUCACCAUAGAGGAUUGUUUAAGUCAACUACUACUAGAGGUCGGCCGAUUAAUUAGGGCCGAUUUCAAGUUUUCAUAACAAUUGGUAAUCUGCCUUUUUGGACGCCGUUUAUGGACGAUUGCAUUGCACUCCACGAGGAGACUGCAUGGCAGGCUGACCACCUGUUACGCAAGUGCAGCAUCAAAAGGACCUUGUGGCUGCAAGGAGCCAAGGUAAGUUGCUAGCUAGCAUUAAACUUAUCUUAUAAAAACAGUCUUCACAUAAUCAAAAUUAACUAAACAUGGUUGAUGAUAUUACUAGUUUAAUUAUCUCGUCCUGCGUUGCAUAUAAUCAAAGUGGUGCCUGUUAAUUUAUCAUCGAAUCACAGCCUACUUCGACUUCGCCAAAUGGGUGAUGAUUUAACAAAAUGUCACAGCUUUCUUCCUGGGAAGGAGAGGCGGACCAAAACGCAGCGUGGUUAUAGUUCAUGGUUCUUUAAUAAGAAAACAUGAACAAACUACAAAACAAUAAACGUGAAAACCGUAACAGUCCUAACUGGUACAUAAAACACAAAGACAGGAAACAAUCACCCACAAAAUACCCAAAGAAUAUGGCUGCCUAAAUAUGGCUCCCAAUCAGAGACAACGAUAAACACCUGCCUCUGAUUGAGAACCAAUCCAGGCAACCAUAGACUUACCUAGACACAUAAAACAACACAACCCCAUAAAUCUACAAAAACGCCUAGACAAGACAAAACACAUAAAUCACCCAUUUCACACCCUGGCCUAACCAAAAUAAUAAAGAAAACAAAGAUAGCUAAGACCAGGGCGUGACACAAAAGCACAUUUGCGAAAAAGCACAAUCGUUGCACAAAUGUACCUAACCAUAAUAAUCAAUGCCUUCCUUAAAAUCAAUACACAGAAUUAUAUAUUUUUAAACCUGCAUAUUUAGUUAAAAGAAACGCAUGUUAGCAGGCAAUAUUAACUAGAAAACUGUCACUUCUCUUGAGUUCAGUGCAAGCGGUUCUGUAUUUCACUGAAAGGAUAAACUUUUUGUUUUCUAAAUUAUAGUUUCCGGAUUUGACCAUAUUGAUGACAAAAGGCUCGUAUUUCGGUAUGUUUAUUAUAAUUAAGUCUAUGAUUUUAUAUUUGAUAGAGCAGUCUGACUGAGUGGUGUUAGGCAGCAGCAGGCUCAUAAGCAUUCAUUCAAACAGCACUUUACUGCAUUUGCCAGCAGCUCUUCACAAUGCUUCAAGCAUUGCGCUGUUUAUGACUUCAAGCCUAUCAACUCCCGAGAUUAGGCUGGCAAUACUAUAGUGCCUAUAAGAACAUCCAAUAGUCAAAGGUAUAUGAAAUACAAAUGGUAUAGAGAGAAAUAGUUGACGCGUCAUAAUUCCUAUAAUAACUCCAACCUAAAACUUCUUAACUGGGAAUAUUGAAGACUCAUGUUAAAAGGAAUCACCAGCUUUCAUAUGUUCUCAUGUUCUGAGCAAGGAACUUAAAUGUUAGCUUUUUUACAUGGCACAUAUUGCACUUUCACUUCUCCAACACUUUGUUUUUGCAUUAUUUAAACCAAAUUGAACAUGUUUCAUUAUUUAUUUGAGGCUAAAUAUAUUUUAUUGAUGUAUUAUAUUAAGUUAAAAUAAAAGUGUUCAUUGUUCAUUCAG